rnacentral:rRNA from 1 species
GCGUUACAGCUUAUCUUCACGCACCCCCUAAUUUCCCUCACCUCCCCUCAACCCCUAUACACCUACUGAAUUAUUUUAUAUCAAUAUAAAAGUAAUUAUGCUAGAACUAGUAACAAGAAAUUGAUUUUUCUCCUAAAUGUAAGUAUAGACCAUAUGGACAAACCAAUGGUACUUAACGCCCCUGUAACUAAUAUAACAACACCUCUCAAGAAAACCCUAUAAUUAUAUACGUUAACCUUACACUAGAGCAUUUCAGGAAAGAUUAAAAAAGAGAGAAGGAACUCGGCAAACCUUAGCCCCGCCUGUUUACCAAAAACAUCGCCUCUUGGCCCAGUAUAAGAGGUCCAGCCUGCCCGGUGACUUAGUUUAACGGCCACGGUACCCUGACCGUGCGAAGGUAGCAUAAUCACUUGUUCUUUAAAUAGGGACUUGUAUCAAUGGCAUCACGAGGGCUGCACUGUCUCCUCUCUUCAAUCAGUGAAACUGAUCCCCCCGUGAAGAAGCGUGGAUUAAAUUAUAAGACGAGAAGACCCCAUGGAGCUUUAAACAAUGUGCUCACACCAUUAAUAUACCAACUCACUAGAAGCCCUGAGCACAAGUUUUAGGUUGGGGAGACCGCGGAGCACAAACUAACCUCCACGACAAAUGGCUUAUGCCUUAUCCAAGAGCCACAGCUCCAAGAAUCAAUAUAUUGAUGUAUAUGAUCCGAUAUUCGAUUAACGAAUCAAGUUACCCUGGGGAUAACAGCGCAAUCUACUUUGAGAGUCCUUAUCGACAAGUGGGCUUACGACCUCGAUGUUGGAUCAGGGUAUCCUUGUGGUGCAGCAGCUAC